AAGUCGUAACAAGGUUUCCGUAGGUGAACCUGCGGAAGGAUCAUUACAGUGUCCCUGCCCUCACGGGUAGAAACACCCACCCUUGUGUAUUAUAUCUUUGUUGCUUUGGCAGGCCGCCCUCGGGCACCGGCUCCGGCUGGAUCGCGCCUGCCAGAGGAAACCCAAACUCUGAAUGUUAGUGUCGUCUGAGUACUAUCUAAUAGUUAAAACUUUCAACAACGGAUCUCUUGGUUCUG
rnacentral:misc_RNA from 1 species